GGUAUAUGUGCAACUGUAUACAUAUAUAUAAGUAUACAUAUACCUGUCUAUAUAUCUUUAGCAGGAACUGAUAUUUUGUCUUUACCUGAAUGACAAGACACCUUUUUUCUUUUCUUUUGUUUCUUUCCUCCCUUCACCCCCCACACAUUAAGUGUGCUGUCUUUGGUAUGAGUACACAGGCAAAAAGCUAAUCUGUGAGCUAAUUUCCCUUCAGGAUUCGAAAGAAGCCAUUAUCUACUCCAUACCUCAUCACAGAAAAACACUAUGUGCUGCCAGUGUGGCAGAAUUCUGUGUCACUUGGAUCUUCCCUUAUUUGUAGAAGUGAUAAGUACUGGAUCUGUCAAGUGACAAAAUCAUUGGCUGUGACCUAAAUUCUCCCUAAAACAUGGUAUGGAGAGAGAACCCACACACACAGCUUUAAGUUCUCAAUCCUACUCUGUUUGCAGUUGCUUGCUGUGACCUUCCUUAGGAAAGGAUAAGCUUAUUCACAGAAAAGAAUAAUCACCUCUGCAAAAUGUUUGUUCCCAUUUUAUGAAAGAGUUGAAAGAUUCUGACUUUUCUUAAUUUGCUCAUUGUAUUCCCACUUAACUGGCAUUACCACAACUUGGUAUCUGUUCCUCUUCCACUCACAACAAAUUCCAUACAGGCUUCAAGCCCUCAUAUGUUGUUGGAUUAGACUCCUUCUUUUGUUAAAAAUAAUGAGCAACGCUCAAAAAUUAUUAAAGUAUUAAUCCCUCCAAUUAGUUUAUGUACUCUUUAUUGUGAUUAUGAGAGCUGUAGACCUUAAACUCUAUUCUAAUUAUGAAAUGAGAACACUGAAGCUACUGAGAUACUCUGGUUUGAAGAGAUUGUAAGAGAAAAAAAUGACUAACAGUGAAGCUGAUUAUGCACCAUGGACAGUGCGGAGCAGUGCGGAGGAAUAUUUUUCAAAAAGUUCAGGCAAAGGCAUGAUGUAUCUGCAAACACUAAAAGAAUAUUUUAGGUACGAAAAAAAAAUAUGUUUGUGUGUUUAUGGAUGGAUUAGGGUGUUUCCCCUAAGCAACCAUCACUGUCAGAAUAGCCUCUCAGUUUUAUGCUUCUGUCCAUGCUUCAGUCAGAAGAUCAUCAUCCACGUGAGUGAUGCACAUUUACAACAUGACCAGCACUCUUGACAGUGACAAGAAGGAGGACAGACACUACUGUUGUGUUCAUGCACAAAGCAAUUUUACCCUGGGAGGAGACAACAGAAGAGACUGACUACAAUCAUAUGAUCCCGCUCAGUUUCAUUUCAAAUCAUCCUAAACUGCAUUUGUGCUGACCUGGUCUGUGGUUACUCAAUUUGAUACAGAAUACAAAGAAAUGGCCAUAAGAUAUAACAAAAAAAAAAAAAAAAAAAAGAAAACAGGACUAAAAUAGCAAUGGUAUGAUAUGUGUUUCCAGUUCUUUUCUCUAAGGAUUUGUGUUAGUGGAAAAUACCUACUUCAGCAGUCUGACAGAGGCAAGACUGCUGCCACUCCACAUCCCCAGCUCCAACCUGUAAUGAGGCUGAAUGGAUAUUCCCAGCUGACACACACAGAGCACAAAACCACAUAUAUACACUGCUGGCCAUACAGAUUGUGGAAAGACACACAGCCCACUCACACCAACACUGACAGCACCACCAGCUUCAUCCUGCUGUCUGCUCUAGCUGAGGAGAACAGAGGCCCUUAAGUGGCAGUAUAUAUAUACACAGUCACAAGAUGGAGCCUCCCAGCAGAAGACUUUGGUGUGUCCAGCAGCCGCUCCUGGAUCCUGGUCUCCCCAUUUACUGCCAGCUGGAUGUACAAGCUCUCAAAGCCACAGCCCCACUCCAGCUGCUGGUACAAACCCUCAUCACACGCAUACAGGCAGAGCUGUUGGGAAUUUCCCUGGUCCCUAUAGUCCCUUUCCUGUGCUCUUGCCCCUAGACACCAGCAGCCACUCCUCACCCAGAGAUGGCCCUCAGAGAUCUCCAAACCCAUCCCUGCCCCCAACCCACUCAUCUGCAUUAUCUUUGCCAGCAAUCACACGCACACUUGCCCAGCUGCUGCACCACAAACAACCUCGUCUACCCCCACGAACACAGGAAAUAAAGAGCCCCUUACUAGAAAGCA
rnacentral:lncRNA from 1 species